AGAUGGGAAUAUCUCCCAAAAUCAAGGAUGAGAUUUCCAUCAAAUCUCCUUGAUUAAUUCCAAUCUCCUAUUUAUGGGUAAGAAUAAUCCUAACCAAAUAAGGAUUAUUCUUCAAACCCUAGCAUACAAAGAGCCUAUAAAUACAUGGCUACACAAGACAUUCAAGGUAACUCUUUCUAUCUCGUAAAACCCUUUCCUGCCGCCACUCUCUCUCCUCUUUCUCCCACACGACUAAGUGCCACCACACACGGGUCUGCCAUCUGGAUCUCCCUAUGGUAUAAAACUCCAUCCAUUUUAGUUAUUGUUUAUCUUUAUCAAGAUCCAAUUGAACUAACUUAGACAUCGGAGGGCCUUUGGCCAACACCCCCCCAAAUUAUCAUGAAUAUUGUUAUCUAUUUAUAGAUUGAAGGUCGAGGAAUCAACCCAUGAAUAUUCUUAGUACGAAAUUUUUCUCAAACAUUUUGGUGCUUUCAUUGAAAGAUUCAAAAUAUACUCAAUGCGAUGCUCUCAAAUAUUGUUCAAGGGAAAUCCAUUUCCUUUCCAUCAUCAGUUUCAUCUGAAACCCUCAAAUUAUCAUGGCGAGAAUAAUCACCACAGUCUGUCAGAAUUUCCUCUAGCCACCCAAUAAAAGCAUAAUGAGCAAAAAAACAAACAGCUUAGCAAGGAGAAAACUAUGGAUCUACUCUGUCACCGGCGUAGACCACCGAUUUACCACGUGCGACCCGAUCUGUCUCAUCAUGACUAGGGAUCUCUGACCUCCAUGCCUGGAGACUCGUGCUGUCGCUAGCCGCAGGAAAAUAGCCUAGGCGGCGUUGGAAAAUUCUCCACAGUUGCUGCCAUCAUCGAAAUGACGGUUUCGGCCCGUUGCCUGGUCAUGCCAACCACACCAUCCCAUUCCCAUAAAUCCAAACAGUAGAAGCCAGCACGAAGUUCCACCACCUGAUGCCGACAACUCGCUAACGAAGUAUCUCUAGAAAAAUAGGAAGUCGUGACCAAGUUUCUUGGACAUCCAUCCUGAUAUCGUUUCGCGACACCACCAGCGUCAUCGGAACCAACAACCUCCAAUCUGCAAAACCCAAAAAGAAAAUAUCCAACGACUUGGUGACCAACUUGCAAAUCCUCGGUCAACUCGAUAAACGAUUCUCAAAUCAACCUGAUUCACGAUCUGUCAGUCAGGCCGAUGAAUGAUCCUUUAAACGAGGUCGACAACCUCCAGUUGGGCCUCAUGGCCAAAGUCAAAAAUCCAACUCAUGGCCCCAUGGCCGAGGUUGGAAUUUUCACCCAUGGCAUAGCCACAACCUCCCAUCACAGCAAUCCUGCUACCGCCCCCAACUACGGCCCGAUCUAGGGGCAAUUGCAACCAGUCCUUCCUUUGGGACCUUCCUUGACGUUCGCAGCUCCCGCAUAUACUUCCAACGAAAUCCUAGCCCGCAUGCAAUUAGGCUCCACACAAUUCUCUCCUCCUGAUUCAUGCAGUCAAGCAGACCUCGGUCUUAGAGUUGACCAACGGACUGAAAGAGUAGACAACCAAAGCAACUUGGUUGGGCAGCUCCUCAAGCAAAUUGACUUGGUCCAAGACAUUGGUCGUGGAUCCAAUGGUGAAGAGAGAAGGAUGGACGAACGCACUGGGAGGCGGUUCGAGAUGUCCUAAGUAGGUUGAGCAUGAACAAGCAGGCAAAGAGGAAGACAGAAAAUGUUGUGCAACACGCAAGCAUGUCACAAGCAUCCGCGAGCCCUAACUAGAAUAGAUCGAGUAUGCGUUCGAGGUUAGGUCUAAGGACCAACGUUCACGCAGGGCACAGUCUGAUAUCCAUGCUUGCUAGGCCUAUAAGGAGAUCAGCCUCGUGGCCAUCCUCAUGGAGAACGUGCAGGAAAAUGCCCACCAGUUCGCACUGAAGAGCAAAUCCCAUGCCAUGCGCUGUAAAAAUCCUUCACAAGUUCAAUUUACUAAUAUUCCGCUGCCAGCAAGGCAGUUGAGGUAAACAUUCCCUACAGCUGAUGAGGAAGUUGACCAACGACACCCACAUCGUGAACUUCCCUAACAAGCACUAUGCGCAGAAGAUGUCGAGAAGCUCGUGAAUGACUGACUUCGAGACUUCAAGGUGGGAGGAUACUUGGAGGAUGCCUUGCGUAGGAAGGUAGACCAAGUGAACUCCUCACCAUUCAUUAACAAGAUGAAAGAGGCAGCUCCCUCGAUCCUGCCAUUUAAAAGGGUUUUCGAUCUCGAAAGCCAUCUCAAGCACUUCAAGAGUGCUAUGAUUCUAUACAAAGCUAAAGACGCAUUGAUGUGCAAGGUGUUUGUAAUGACCUUGCGAGGAGUAGCCCAAGACUAGUUCCAUACCCCUUCGUCCAGGUCAAUUCGAAGCUUUAAGGAGCUUACCCUCGUCUUCUUGAAAGAUUACACUUUUUAUUGGACUAUCAAAAAGAACACUGACUAUCUGUUAACUUGCAAAAGAAGCACAAUGAAUCCCUUUGAGACUA